rnacentral:rRNA from 1 species
GGGCCCGCACAAGCGGUGGAGUAUGUGGUUUAAUUCGACGCAACGCGAAGAACCUUACCAGGGCUUGACAUCCUCUGACCCUCCUAGAGAUAGGAGCUUCCCUUCGGGGACAGAGAGACAGGUGGUGCAUGGUUGUCGUCAGCUCGUGUCGUGAGAUGUUGGGUUAAGUCCCGCAACGAGCGCAACCCCUAUCUUUUGUUGCCAGCACGUAAAGGUGGGAACUCAAAAGAGACUGCCGCAGACAAUGCGGAGGAAGGCGGGGAUGACGUCAAAUCAUCAUGCCCCUUAUGUCCUGGGCUACACACGUACUACAAUGGGUCUAAACAGAGGGAAGCAAGACCGCGAGGUGGAGCCAAACCCAUAAAUAGACUCUCAGUUCGGAUUGCAGGCUGCAACUCGCCUGCAUGAAGUCGGAAUCGCUAGUAAUCGCAGGUCAGCAUACUGCGGUGAAUACGUUCCCGGGCCUU